UGGGGAAUUUUGGACAAUGGGCGAAAGCCUGAUCCAGCAAUGCCGCGUGUGUGAAGAAGGCCUUCGGGUUGUAAAGCACUUUUGUCCGGAAAGAAAUCCUUGGCUCUAAUACAGUCGGGGGAUGACGGUACCGGAAGAAUAAGCACCGGCUAACUACGUGCCAGCAGCCGCGGUAAUACGUAGGGUGCAAGCGUUAAUCAGAAUUACUGGGCGUAAAGCGUGCGCAGGCGGUUUGCUAAGACCGAUGUGAAAUCCCCGGGCUCAACCUGGGAACUGCAUUGGUGACUGGCAGGCUAGAGUAUGGCAGAGGGGGGUAGAAUUCCACGUGUAGCAGUGAAAUGCGUAGAGAUGUGGAGGAAUACCGAUGGCGAAGGCAGCCCCCUGGGCCAAUACUGACGCUCAUGCACGAAAGCGUGGGGAGCAAACAGGAUUAGAUACCCUGGUAGUCCACGCCCUAAACGAUGUCAACUAGUUGUUGGGGAUUCAUUUCCUUAGUAACGUAGCUAACGCGUGAAGUUGACCGCCUGGGGGAGUACGGUCGCAAGAUUAAAACUCAAAUGAAUUGACGGGGUCAUAGCUGUUUCCU
rnacentral:rRNA from 1 species